rnacentral:rRNA from 1 species
GACGAACGCUGGCGGCGUGCUUAACACAUGCCAGUCGAACGGAAAGGCCCUGCUUUUGUGGGGUGCUCGAGUGGCGAACGGGUGAGUAACACGUGAGUAGCCUGCCCUUGACUUUGGGAUAACUUCAGGAAACUGGGGCUAAUACCGGAUAGGAGCUCCUGCGGCAUGGUGGGGGUUGGAAAGUUUCGGCGGUUGGGGAUGGACUCGCGGCUUAUCAGCUUGUUGGUGGGGUAGUGGCUUACCAAGGCUUUGACGGGUAGCCGGCCUGAGAGGGUGACCGGCCACAUUGGGACUGAGAUACGGCCCAGACGCCUACGGGAGGCAGCAGUGGGGAAUAUUGCACAAUGGGCGGAAGCCUGAUGCAGCAACGCCGCGUGCGGGAUGACGGCCUUCGGGUUGUAAACCGCUUUCGCCUGUGACGAAGCGUGAGUGACGGUAGUGGGUAAAGAAGCACCGGCUAACUACGUG